rnacentral:rRNA from 1 species
CUCAGAUCAUGUAAGAUUUUAAUGAUCGAACAGAUCAAAAUUUUAAACUUUUGCAUUUAAAUUUUAUCUUAAUCCAACAUCGAGGUCGCAAUCUUUUUUUUUUAUUUGAGCUAAAAAAAAAUAUUACGCUGUUAUCCCUAAGGUAAUUUUUUCUUAUAAUCAUUAUUAAUGGAUCAUUUAAUCAUUUAUUCAUGUUUAAUUUUUAAAAAAAGUUAAUUUAAUUUUUCUAUCACCCCAAUAUAAUAAUUAAUUUUAUCUUAAUAAAAACUUUUAUAUAAUUUUAAAAUAAAAAUAAAUAUAAAACUCUAUAGGGUCUUCUCGUCUUUUAAAAUUAAUUUAGCUUUUUAACUAAAAAAUAAAUUUCUAAAAAUAAAUAAGAGACAGUUUAUAUUUCAUCAAAUCUUUCAUACAAGUUUUCAAUUAAAAAACUAUUGAUUAUGCUACCUUUGUACAGUCAUUAUACUGCAGCCCUUUAAUAUUUAUCAGUGGGCAGAUUAGACCUUAAAUUAUAAUCAAAAAGACAUGUUUUUG